rnacentral:lncRNA from 1 species
AUGCUCGUGGGUGCUGUGGAUCAUGCGGGACUCAUAGGAAUCAAUGACGAUGAGAUGAUUGGAUCACCAAGAGUCGUGAUGGGAGGUGGGGCAAGUGCUCCUAGGGAAUGUGGGAGGUGUUCCCCUCGGUUUUGGGUGGCGCCGAAUUUAUGCAAUAGUGUUCACCGCCAUCCGAACAAGUGGUGAGAAACACGUGCAAACUAUGGCAAAUCCUGGUUAGUAACGGCAGAGAGUAAAGGGCUACCACAUCCAUGAAGGACUUUUCUUCAACUACGUCCACCAACGUUCAAGGGAAGAACCGGAUCCAGUGGUUACGAAGUUGGCUUGAACAAGUCACAAGGGCAAUUGGAUACAAUCUUAGUGACUGAGGAAGACUUGAGGGUGGUGUUUUAACAUCCUAUCAACUCGGGGGAUGCCCUCCAAUGGUGGAAGACCAUGAGGAAGUGGAGCAAAAAGUGGUAUCCUUUCAAGAAGGCUUUCCUGGAUCAUAUUUUAGCGGUUACGACUAAGGAGGCGUUAGGAUGGAAUUUAUUAUUGUUCAAUGAAGCAUGACUGUGGCUGCAAUAUGAGGCAAAGUUUACUAGAUGUCAAGGUUUGGCAAAGCAUUUGAUUGAGAGAGGAGAAAGCGAAACAGUUUAUGCGAGGGCUUAGGCCGUCCCUAAGGAAUAAGGAUUGAGGAAAGGGAAAUUUGAUAAAAGUUUACUCGACUAUGGUAGCGCAGCGGAAGCCAUUGAGGAGAGGGAGACUUUGAACGGGAUAGGAAGAUUCAAAAUCCUAGUCACAGCGUGAGGGAACUAGCAAUCAGUCGGAGGGGCGUUCUUCAAGAAGCUACCAGGACCGUAUACUGCACAGCAACAGAUCCUACGAGGGGGGGGUCUUUUUACCCGGCCAUAUCUGUUAUAUCAUAGGGCCAAACAUCUCGGGGAGGGGCCGAUUUGGUUUGGUUGUCAUCAACCGGGACACGUAUAGUGGACUACCACUGAGGGGUUAGCAGCGGCAGUCGCAAGUAGGGGGGACAAUCUCAAAAUCCAGGCACAGAGAAAUUCACGUCAGGGGCCACCUACCUGCAUCGGUGUGGUCAAGUGGGUCAUAUCAGUCGACAGUGCACGCAAAGGGAGAAUAGGCAGGGAGCUACGGGACGAUGCAACAACCUACUCGGUCAGUUCAGGCCUUGGGGCUACUCAGCGUUUACAUCAGCACAGAUUCAUAUGGUCCAGACCACAGCGUGUAGCGCAGCGGGCAGAGGGCGGACACAGGGACGGGUUUAUGCUUAUUGACAUCAGCAACGGGACCGUCGGGGGACAGGUGGGCGACAGCAGGAAAACAGCAAUGGGAUACUCUGUUGUGCGAGGGACUUACUUAUAGUUUAAUCGUGGGGCUCGUGUUCUCAUCGACACGGGGCUUACAUUCAUUCAUCUUAUAUCUUUGGCUUUGGCAUUGGAAUUAGAGAUUAAAGGUAUUAGAUUCAAUGCUUAUGGUAGAAUACUUCAGUUGGGGGUUAGACGAUUUUGAAGAGAGUUUGUAGACCUGGUGAUGGUUUGAGAUCGCUGAUCGACGCUUGUGUUCAAUUUUAUUGUAUUAGACAUGACUUGUUUGAUGUAAUCAUUGGUAGGAUGGUGACCAGCUAUAGGGCUAUGAUAGACUGUGUCCACAUCGAGUUUACCUUUGUACACCGAGGGAGAUCGUUUUCAUUUUCGUGGGAGAGCGAUCGUGGUUUUGUCCCGUCGAUCUACUAAUGUGCGUAAGGCAAGGGGAAGUUGAAUUUUCUUUUUCUGGCGUGUUUGGUAGAUGAGGGUUAGCGUAGUUAGUGUUGGCCUUGCACCAGGAGUUGUGAAUUUCGGAUGUUUUUCCUGAGGAGUGUAGAGUUACACCACACUAGAGAUUGAAUUCUCCAUUUAUUUAUACGGACAUUGCGCCCAUAUCGGUACACACAGUAUCGUACCCUCGUGCCACCGGCAGAGCUGCAGAACUAAAGAUUCAAAUUCAAGAAUUGUUUUGGAUAAAGAUUUUAAUCCGACCCUAGCGCAUUACAUGGGGAGUUUCGGCUUUUAUUUGCUAAGAACGAAGGAUAGAUCCUUAGAAUGGUGGUGUAAGAUUAGCGACGAUGUGAAUCGUGUGACAAUAAAGACAAGUCUCACUUCCGAUGGAUCGACCGCGUUAAGUUUGACCAAUUGAAAGGUUCUGAGCUUUUUUCUCGACAAUCGCCUUGAGAUGCUGGUUUAUCAUCAAUGCGAGCAAAGAGGGAGGAUAUUGCGAAGACGGCUUUUCGCUCCGCUCACGGGCUUAUGAUUGUUCUUGUAUUCCUUUUGGUCCUUAUGAACGCACCAGCAGCUUUCAUGGAUUUUGAUGAAUCGUAUCUUUCAUCCAUAUCUGACCGUUUCGUGGUCCGUGUUCGUGGACGACUUCUUUGAUCUACUCGCCAUCGGUUGAUCGCAUGAGGAAGAUUUGAGAAUAGGUACAACUCUUGCAAGAGCACCAUGUGGUACCGCUAAGGUUAGCAAGUGCAAAGUGGUUCUUGAGGUGAAAUUCUUAGGUCACGUUGUGUCAGAAGGUGGAAUAGCUGUGGAUUCAUCAAAGAUUGAGGCAGUGUGAAUUGGGAAGCGCCGAAGACCGUAUUUGAAGUUUGUAGUUUCUUGCUUGAUUUUAGCUGGUUUACCUAACCGGCGAUUUGUAGAGGACUUGUCAUUUUCAAGAUUUAGCAGCACCAAUGACUCGACUUUACAGGAAGGGAAUUUUGUUUUGUUGGAACGUGCGUUUGACCUUCUUUUCAAGACUUUCAGAAAGACUGACUUCGGCAACCAAUUCUUGUUAUAAACCCUAGUCGAGGGUUUGGGGUAUACCGUGUCUCUGCGGAUGCUUCCGUGAUGGCUUGGGGUUGCGUGUUGAUGCAGUAGGUAAAGUGAUUGCGUAUGGUUCUCGUUGUUAAAAGGCGACGAACAAAAUUAUCCGACACAAUGACUUGGAACUUGCGGCGGUUAUUUGGCUUUAAAAGUUGGAGGCAUUACUUGUACAGAGAACGUUUGAAGUGUUUCAAACCACAAGAGCUUGAAGUCUUGUUCACACGAAAGACUUGAACUUGAGGCAAGCGGCAAUGGAUGGAGUACUGGAAGACAUGACUUCUACUUACAAUAAUCCAGGAAAAGCUAACUUUGUGGUGAUGCACGCAAGUAGGAAAUCGCUUAUUGUUGUGGCGAGCAUUUCCAUCCAUGAGGGAAGAUGCUUCAAGAAUAUGGUGAGAUGAUUUACUUCUCGGCGAGACGAACGAGUUUGCUACGUUUUUGACGUUGUCUGUAGAACUAUCUAUCCUCAAUAUGGUCGUUGAGGCACAACAGCAAAUGUUGGAUGCCAAGACGAUUUGCGAUCAUAUGCUAGAGGUGUAUGGGACCGACAUGUUGGGUUUUGCAUUCGGACAGGGGUUGAGCUAUAAGUCUAGAUUAUUUGUACCUUUGUCUUGUAGAGAUGACGUUCUUCGUGAGUUUCAUCAUUCACGACUUGCAAAUUUUUUUUUUUCUUUUUUUUUUUUUUUUUUUUUCUCAUCCUGGAGGGACAAAGAUGUAUCAUGAUUUGUGGUCGCUAAUUUGGUGGAGACGAAUGAAGACGAUGUGGCUUUUAUUCGUUCGAGGUGUUUUGACUUGUCAGCAAUGAAACCGAACACCGGAAGCCAAUAGGUUUUGCUACAACCAUUACCAGUUUGCAGAGUGGAAAUGGGAGCACAGAUCACUAUGGACUUUGUUACGGGUUUGCCUAGAUCAUUGAGAGGGGCCAUGAUGCGUUUGGGUCCUAGUGGAUCUUUUGACAAAAUUUGCGCAUUUUCUCCUAUCCGUCUUUCACUUCGGCAGAGAAUCUUGUGUUCUUUAUGUUCGAGAGAUCAUUAGACGUCAUGGGGUUUCCAGGCUCUAUCAUUUUCGGAUAGAGAAUCGCGUUUUAACAUCGCUUCUUUUGGAAGGGGAUACAUCCGCACUAGGAUCGGAUUUGAGCUUAGCACGGCUUUCAUCCUCAGACUGACGGGCAGUUUGAGGCACUGCGUACUUGAUUUUGGGGGAUCAUGGAGGAUUAUUUACAUUUGGUAGAGUUUGCGAAAUAAUAAUAGUUAUCAGGCGAGCUCGGUAUGGCACCUUUUGAGGCGUUAUCGGAAUAACAUUUAGGGUCACCCGUGUGUUGGACCGACGUGGAGAGGCAUGCUUGCAUAAGUCAGAAUGGGUCGGAUACACCGAGAAGGUAGUAAUAAUUAGGAAGCGUUUACUCACGGCGCAGAGUCGCAAGAAGAGUUACGCCGUCAGGAGAAACGUCAUUUGGAAUUUGCCGUUGGAGGAAUCACGUAUUCUGAGGGUUUCAACCUAAGAGUGGUUUGAUGCGCUUUGGACUAGCGGAAAGCUAUCACCAAGGUUGCAUUGGACAUUUGAGAUUCUUGAUCGUAUUGGGGCCGUGGCAUACCGUCUUGCCCUUGCCCCAGAGGUUGCCAAUGUGCAUAUGUGUUUCAUGUUUCCAUGUUGUCGGAAAUAUGAGCCCGAUCCUUUCACACGUUUGGUUGGGAAUCUUGACAGUCCGAGGAUGCACGUAUGAGAGCGACCGAUUCGUAUGUUUGGACACGAGGGAUUUUCACAGUUCUAAGAGGAAAGACUAUUCCAUUGGUGAAGGGUUCUAUGGCUUUCAUCAUGGGCGUAGAGGAAGCUACGUGGGAGCGCGAGUCAGAGGUUCGUUCAAAGUAUCUAGAACUUUUGAGACAUCGGUACGUUUGUUUAAUUUCGGGACGAAAUUUUCUAAGUGGUGGAGGUUGUAAGGGUUCAAAAUUUUUUCUUUUUCUUUUUAUAACGUAAUUAAUAUUCAAGUGUGAUGCAUGUAUAUAUAUAUUAUAUAGAUCUUAUGAAACUUAUCCAUGUUAUAAAAUGAAGUUGAAUUUUUAUUUUGGAUUGAAGUUGGGUGUGUAAGAGAUAGGUGGCCGGAGUUAUAUUGGACCCCAAUUGGACUCAUGUUGAUUUAGUUUGGGUUUGUUAUCUUGG